AAUUAAUAUUUGUAGCCUGUUUGUGGUGCGUUUUGUUGUUUUCCACGUCUCUGAUCCACACAGCAUCACCUAUUUCACAUUUGAGUUAUAGAUGCAUAUUUUGGUGUUGAUUGAGAUGUGUUUUGAGCUCCAGAUCUUCCUGAGCAUGUUAAACACCACCCUAGCCUCAUUGAUUCUACUUGUUAUGUCUGCCACUCACACACA